ACAAUCGACGACCACAGAACCUGGAGAGAACAAUCGCUACGUCUUUUCGACACAGCAUCUCGCAUAUCACGCAAAAGAACGAUAUUGACAGUGGUGUUAUGUUAUUUUUUAUUGUCAGUGCAUUUCAUGGCUUGUGCUUCUCUUUCUUGUCAAGGAAUCUUCCAUGACUUCACUUAUCGUGAGACUAAUAGAUUUGCCGUUCAUAAUAGCGGUGAGUUCGGCACGACAAAACUCGUUGACAUGUGAUUGAUACUAUAGCGAUAUAGUGCAAUUGAAUGAAAAUGAAGUGGAUAUACAGAUACCCAUACACUGAAGGCAAGUUGAAAACUUAUAUUUUGACAGAAGGGUUAAGUACUGGCUGAGCAUUCUCAAAUCAAGCAAUCUUCUUAUCUUAGUAAUUCAUACUUUUAACGGAAUCAAUACAGAAGAGAUAGAAUCAACAAUCAGGUUUCGAUACGUUCCAGUCGCAUGUAGACAGCUAAGAAGAUCGAUUAAGUGUCGCGACGGAAAGCCGGUGCAUCGGAUAAAUUAUAAAAAAUUGUAUCUAUCAAUUUUCUUAGCCAAAA